rnacentral:lncRNA from 1 species
ACCCGCCAGCCCCGCGCUCUACCAGGCAGAGCGCGUGUGGCCGCCGAGCACAUGGACCCACUGGUCAAGCGGGCUCGGCAAGGCCAGGAUGAAGAGAAGCUACGAACUUAGCAUUCCCAGAGCCCCCCGAGUGGAUAUCCGCGUGGAAAGGAUGUUGGCAGCCCCGGUGACCUCGGAGUCACGGCUGGAUCCACCCUCUUGUCUGAUUUUCUUAACUCUACUACGGUAAGAAGAUGCCCUCCAUCAGCAGGCCGUGUCUGCUGGGACCUCUCUGGAGACUUCCUGAACCCUGUGGAUUUACAGUAAGAUGCAGUUUCCUGGGGAGUAAUUCUGGUGGAUACAAAUUCCGGAGUAUUACACCUGGCUUGCCUGGAGAUGUUACAAGUAGCUGGAUGGAUUCUUCAGCCUGGAUGCCCACUGAAAACAAGGACCGAAACUAAGAGGAUUGUAUCUCUACCCUUGACUCAAUGAGAAUGUUUGUUGUCAUCUCUCGGGCUACCUGGAGCUCCCUCUAAAAUAGAGCCGAGUUCUGUCACCACAGACAUUGGCAGUGGCACUUGCAUGCCCCUGGCAAGCAGUCUAUCCUGAGGUGGAGGAAGUUGCCCUUGAGUUCUGGCUGGUAACCAGCACAGUAUACCCUUUAAGCGUUCCAGAAGGAUUUUGAGAUCCUUUCCUAAAUCAAAGGUGGAAUAUUUGGGGAUUUGGAAAAUUGAGAUGUGAAGCGUUGACUUAAGAGAUGCCAAGUAACUCAGCAGAUGUCACACAGACGAUAAAUAGCAAAGAUGGAAGUCUUCAUGCCGGAGGCAAUCCUAUAAGACAGCUGAGUUCUGCAGAGCUGGUAGGAGACAGACUUGCUCAGGUGAUAGAUCCAGCCAUGAUACUGACCCUAAGAGAAUGAGACGCUCUGCAGAAGACAGAAGAUUCCUGAAACUGGGAAAGGUGCCUAGAAAUCCUGAUAAGAGUGAAGAAGGGUACCUGGAGGCACAGCAGCCAUGUUGAACCUAUGAGGUGAUGAAAAACCAUGCAACUAGAAACCAGAAUGGAAGAAAAGAAGAAGCUGGAUCCUUGACUGAAUUGUCGAUGGGGGAUAGUCCAUCAUCCCAGGGCUAAGACCACCUCCAGAUUUCUUGUUUGGUGAAACAAGUCCUGAUUGUUUACAUUCCCUCGUGUUGAGCUGUCUCUUGCUUGUAGCUGAAAGCAUUUCUAAUAGAUAUUCAGAUUAUCAGCCUUAGCUCCAAGCUAGAAUACUCUAUGGGACCUUAGCUUCUCCAUGAAUUCCUUUGCUCAUCUGUGUAAUGCUCAAUAAAUGUAAAUUGAACCCUGAAUGAGGGACAAUGACACUAUUGAA